CUAACACAUGCAAGUCGAGCGGUAGAGAGAAGCUUGCUUCUCUUGAGAGCGGCGGACGGGUGAGUAAAGCCUAGGAAUCUGCCUGGUAGUGGGGGAUAACGUUCGGAAACGGACGCUAAUACCGCAUACGUCCUACGGGAGAAAGCAGGGGACCUUCGGGCCUUGCGCUAUCAGAUGAGCCUAGGUCGGAUUAGCUAGUUGGUGAGGUAAUGGCUCACCAAGGCGACGAUCCGUAACUGGUCUGAGAGGAUGAUCAGUCACACUGGAACUGAGACACGGUCCAGACUCCUACGGGAGGCAGCAGUGGGGAAUAUUGGACAAUGGGCGAAAGCCUGAUCCAGCCAUGCCGCGUGUGUGAAGAAGGUCUUCGGAUUGUAAAGCACUUUAAGUUGGGAGGAAGGGUUGUAGAUUAAUACUCUGCAAUUUUGACGUUACCGACAGAAUAAGCACCGGCUAACUCUGUGCCAGCAGCCGCGGUAAUACAGAGGGUGCAAGCGUUAAUCGGAAUUACUGGGCGUAAAGCGCGCGUAGGUGGUUUGUUAAGUUGGAUGUGAAAUCCCCGGGCUCAACCUGGGAACUGCAUUCAAAACUGACUGACUAGAGUGUGGUAGAGGGUGGUGGAAUUUCCUGUGUAGCGGUGAAAUGCGUAGAUAUAGGAAGGAACACCAGUGGCGAAGGCGACCACCUGGACCAACACUGACACUGAGGUGCGAAAGCGUGGGGAGCAAACAGGAUUAGAUACCCUGGUAGUCCACGCCGUAAACGAUGUCAACUAGCCGUUGGGAGCCUUGAGCUCUUAGUGGCGCAGCUAACGCAUUAAGUUGACCGCCUGGGGAGUACGGCCGCAAG
rnacentral:rRNA from 1 species